UACGUAGGUGGCAAGCGUUGUCCGGAUUUACUGGGCGUAAAGAGCGCGCAGGCGGUCGUUCAAGUCGCGUGUGAAAGCCCCCGGCUCAACUGGGGAGGGUCACGCGAUACUGAUCGACUCGAAGGCAGGAGAGGGUAGUGGAAUUCCCGGUGUAGUGGUGAAAUGCGUAGAUAUCGGGAGGAACACCGGUGGCGAAGGCGGCAUCCGUGGACCGACACUGACGCGUGA
rnacentral:rRNA from 1 species